rnacentral:rRNA from 1 species
UACAGAGGGGGCGAGCGUUGUUCGGAAUUACUGGGCGUAAAGGGCGCGUAGGCGGCGUGAACAAGUCACUUGUGAAAUCUCCGGGCUUAACUCGGAACGGCCAAGUGAUACUGUCGUGCUAGAGUGCAGAAGGGGCAAUCGGAAUUCUUGGUGUAGCGGUGAAAUGCGUAGAUAUCAAGAGGAACACCUGAGGUGAAGACGGGAUUGCUGGGCGUGACACUGACGCUGAGGCGCGAAAGCUAGGGGAGCAAACGGG